rnacentral:rRNA from 1 species
AUUGAACGCUGGCGGCAGGCCUAACACAUGCAAGUCGAGCGCGCGGCGGACGGGUGAGUAAUGUAUGGGGACUGCCCGAUAGAGGGGGGUAACUACUGGAGACACUAUCUAAUACCGCGUACUAUAGGAUAACCCACAUGGGAUUAGCUAGUAGGUGAGGUAAUGGCGCACCUAGGCGACGAGCCCUAGCUGGUCUGAGAGGAUGAUCAGCCACACUGGGACGUAGACACGGCCCAGACUCCUACGGAGGCAGCAGUGGGGAAUAUUGCACAAUGGGCGCAAGCCUGAUGCAGCCAUGCCGCGUGUAUGAAGAAGGCCCUAGGGUUGUAAAGUACUUUCAGUCGGGAGGCGUUACCGACAGAAGAAGCACCGGCUAACUCCGUGCCAGCAGCCGCGGUAAUAC